rnacentral:tRNA from 1 species
GUUUGUAGCUCAGUGGUAGAGCGCUUGCCUUACAUGCAGAAGGCCCUAGGUUCAAUCCUCAGCAUCACA